rnacentral:rRNA from 1 species
UACGUAGGGGUCGAGCGUUGUCCGGACUUACUGGGCGUAAAGCGUGGGUAGGUGGAUGCUGAUGUGCCGUGUGAAAGCGCCGCGCUUCUCGCGGCGAGGUCGCGGUAGACACAGCAUCUAGAGGCACGGAGAGGGGCGUAGAAUUCCCGGUGUAGUGGUGAAAUGCGUAGAUAUCGGGAGGAACACCAGUGGCGAAGGCGGCUUUCUGGCCUGUUCUUGACGCUGAGGCGGCGAAAAGCUAGGGUAGCAAACGG